GGGGCUGUUUUUGGAUUUGACAAAAUUAUCCACAUAAUAAAGUGCAUGCCGAGGGACGGUUUGCCUCGAUAAAAACCGUAAAAAAAUAGUUGCAAAAAAUAAUCAAAACUACGCUUUAGCCGCUUAAAAAACUGUUUAAAGCCUUUCCUCCUGAUUCUUUUCUCUUGAAAAAGGAAAUCGGAAAGUCAUAUUUUAAGAGAACAACAUGAAAAUCGUGCUUGAUCGAUUUCAUGCGUAAUUCUAGUUCAAGCUAUAUACCUAAAAUCGUUUUUUCAUAUUAGGUAAUGAACGUAAAAAUAGAAAAAACUAAGCAUGUAGUACUUUGUUCUCGUAGAAAUUUUGGACGCGGGUUCAAAUCCCGCCAGCUCCAA
rnacentral:tmRNA from 1 species